UGAACUGUCGACAUGAGCUGUUGCUGGUCCUCAAACUGGGGGCAUGUGCACGCUCUGUUUACACAUCCACUCACAUCUGUGCACCCUCUGUAGUUCUAUGGUCCAGGGGAGAGACUCUGUCCUCCUCUCAUAGUUCUACAUUACCACACACACACUGUAAUAAAGUCUUAUGGAAUGUAUUCCGCGUUUAAUGCAAUGCAAUACAACUUUCAGCAACGGAUCUCUUGGCUCUCGCAUCGAUGAAGAACGCAGCGAAAUGCGAUAAGUAAUGUGAAUUGCAGAAUUCAGUGAAUCAUCGAAUCUUUGAACGCACCUUGCGCCCCUUGGCCAUUCCGAGGGGCAUGCCUGUUUGAGUAUCAUGAACACCUCAACUCUCAUGGCUUGCCGUGAUGAGCUUGGACUUUGGGGGUUUUGCUGGCCUCUGUGGUCAGCUCCUCUUAAACGAAUCAGCUUGCUAGUGUUUGGCGGCAUUGUGGGUGUGAUAACUAUCUACGCCCAUGGUUGUUUGCCAGGUAACCUUCAGCAGUGGAGGUUCACUGGAGCUCAUAAACGUCUCUCCUCAGUGUGAGACAGCAUUUUGAACGUUCGAUCUCAGAUCAGGUAGGACUACCCGCUGAACUUAAGCAUA
rnacentral:rRNA from 1 species